CGUCGUGGUAAAUGAAUUAUAUGGUGAAUAUAACGGACAAUUCUGCUUUGGAUACUUCAAGAUAUUCUUUUCAUUUUAAAAGAAAGAUGGCUGUGCAUCAUAUCCUUUUAUUUAUUGCAUUCAGUAAACUAGGUGUAGAAGGAAUGUCUUUUCAGCAAAAUGUGAAUAAAAAGUUAGUAUAUACUGCGGUGCCAUUAAAUUUUCGGAGAGCAUCAAGAUUAUGUGAACAACUAGGUGGUAUAAUAGCUCCAUUAAAAACACGAAUGGAUGACAUGUUAAUAAGUGCCAUCAGAGGUAAAAAAGAUAUAUGGAUUGGAGGAACUGAUAGAGAGAUUGAAGGUGAAUUUAGAUGGUUGGAUGGUGAUUUAUUAAAUUAUACAAACUGGCGGGAAGGUAAA